UGGUGUCUACUCUUCAAAGAAUGAGAAGAGAGAGGAUCCAGAGAAGGCUGAAGAACGCCAUCCAAGGACUGUGAUUGAAGUCCAACUUUAUUGUAGAGCUAUGCUGUCCGAUAUGGUACCCACUGGCUGCAUGUAGCUAUUGAGCACCUGAAAUGUGUCCACUCUGAAUUGAGAUGUGUGGUAAGUAUACAAUACACACA
rnacentral:lncRNA from 12 species